UAACUAGUUACUUUUUUCAAAACGUAAAUUGUAACUGUAACUAGUUAAAAAAUUAGGAAUAAAACGUAACGAUAACUAGUUACAUUUGCGGGUGCUUUGAAGCCCGCAAAAACAUUCCUUUAGUCCGCGACACUGUCUAGAACACUGUUACAAAAGACAUUAUUGAAAUUACGUAAAUACCUUAAGCCAUAGUAAAAAGUAGGAUAAAAACUGCUUAACAACAUACCUGCUCUUUGAAUUUUCAAAAUUUUUAGGAUUAUAAUAAAAAA